GUACACUCCUGCGGGAGGCAGCAGUGGGGAAUUUUGGACAAUGGGCGAAAGCCUGAUCCAGCAAUGCCGCGUGAGUGAAGAAGGCCUUCGGGUUGUAAAGCUCUUUUGUCAGGGAAGAAACGGUGAAAGCUAAUAUCUUUUGCUAAUGACGGUACCUGAAGAAUAAGCACCGGCUAACUACGUGCCAGCAGCCGCGGUAAUACGUAGGGUGCAAGCGUUAAUCGGAAUUACUGGGCGUAAAGCGUGCGCAGGCGGUUUUGUAAGUCUGAUGUGAAAUCCCCGGGCUCAACCUGGGAAUUGCAUUGGAGACUGCAAGGCUAGAAUCUGGCAGAGGGGGGUAGAAUUCCACGUGUAGCAGUGAAAUGCGUAGAUAUGUGGAGGAACACCGAUGGCGAAGGCAGCCCCCUGGGUCAAGAUUGACGCUCAUGCACGAAAGCGUGGGGAGCAAACAGGAUUAGAAACCCGUGUAGUCCCA
rnacentral:rRNA from 1 species